AGAAAACAAUAGUGAUUCCCAAAGUAGCGGCGAGCGAAAUGGGAACAGCCCAAACCAGUGUUGUUUCGGCAAUACUGGGGUUGUAGGACUGCGAUAUCUUAACAAAAAUGAACGAGAAUGAUCUGGGAAGAUCAGCCAUAGAAGGUGAAAGCCCUGUAUUGGUAAGUUUUUGAGCGGUAGCAGUAUCCUGAGUAGGGCGGGGCAGGUGAAACCCCGUUCGAAUCUACCGGCACCAUCCGGUAAGGCUAAAUACUCCUGAGAGACCGAUAGUGAACCAGUACCGUGAGGGAAAGGUGAAAAGUACCCUGAAUAAGGGGGUGAAAUAGUACCUGAAACCAUACGCUUACAAGCGAUCGGAGCCCAAUAAUUGGGUGACGGUGUGCCUUUUGCAUAAUGAGCCUACGAGUUACUCCUCUCUAGCGAGGUUAAGGAUUUAAGGUCCGUAGCCGGAGCGAAAGCGAGUCUGAAUAGGGCGUUUAGUUAGAGGGGGUAGACGCGAAACCCUGUGAUCUACCCAUGACCAGGUUGAAGUGACGGUAACACGUCAUGGAGGACCGAACCAGUUGACGUUGAAAAGUCUUUGGAUGAGUUGUGGGUAGGGGUGAAAGGCCAAUCAAACUGGGAAAUAGCUCGUACUCCCCGAAAUGCUUUUAGGAGCAGCGUGGAGGUUAAGUCUGUUAGAGGUAGAGCUACCGAUAGGACUAGGGGGAGUCAAAUCCUACCAAAUCCUGACGAACUCCGAAUGCUAACAGAUAUACUCCGCAGUGAGGGCAAGGGUGCUAAGGUCCUUGUCCGAGAGGGAAAGAACCCAGACCUUCAGCUAAGGUCCCAAAGUGUAUACUAAGUUGAACUAAGGCGGUCCAGUUGCAUAGACAGCCAGGAUGUUGGCUUGGAAGCAGCCAUUCAUUUAAAGAGUGCGUAACAGCUCACUGGUCGAGCGACAGGGCAUCGAUGAUGAUCGGGCAUUAAGUAUACCACCGAAGCUAAGGCAGUAUUUAUACUGGGUAGGGGAGCAUUCUAUUCUGCGAAGAAGCAAUCUGGUGAUGGGUUGUGGAGCGUAUAGAAAAGCAAAUGUAGGCAUAAGUAACGAUAAGGCGGGUGAGAAACCCGCCCACCGAUAGACUAAGGUUUCCUGAUCAACGCUAAUCGGAUCAGGGUUAGUCGGGACCUAAGGCGAACCCGAAUGGGGUAGUCGAUGGACAACGGGUUAAUAUUCCCGUACUUGUAUUUACUGCGAUGGGGUGACGGAGUAGUGAAAGUCCUGCGUACUGACGGAAUAGUACGUUGAAGCCAGUAGAUAUAGGACCUGUAGGCAAAUCCGCAGGUCUUGUCGAAGGUGAUAGUACUCGGAGUUUUCGAACAAAGAGAUAUGGACCUAAUCAGACUUCCAAGAAAAACCUCUAAGCAUCAGGUAAAUACAACUCGUACCGCAAACCGACACAGGUAGUCAAGGAGAGAAUCCUGAGGUGCUCGAGUGAUCCGUGGCUAAGGAACUAGGCAAAAUGGUCCUGUAACUUCGGGAGAAGGGACGCCUCCUCAUUUUCGGAUGAGAGGCCGCAGUGAAUAGGCCCAGGCGACUGUUUAGCAAAAACACAUGGCUUUGCGAAAUCGAAAGAUAAAGUAUAAGGCCUGACACCUGCCCGGUGCUGGAAGGUUAAGAGGAGGAGUGCAAGCUCUGAAUUGAAGCCCGAGUAAACGGCGGCCGUAACAAUAACGGUCCUAAGG
rnacentral:rRNA from 14 species